GGGUGCUUAGCUCAGCUGGUAGAGCGUCUGCCUUACACGCAGAAUGUCAGCGGUUCGAUCCCGUUAGCACCCACCA
rnacentral:tRNA from 2 species